rnacentral:rRNA from 1 species
UACGGAGGGUGCGAACGUUAAUCGGAAUCACUGGGCGUAAAGCGCGCGUAGGCGGUCUGUUAAGUGGGAUGUGAAAUCCCCGGGCUUAACCUGGGAAUUGCAUUUCAAACUGGCCGACUAGAGUACGGUAGAGGGAGGUAGAAUUUCCUGUGUAGCGGUGAAAUGCGUAGAUAUAGGAAGGAAUACCAGUGGCGAAGGCGGCCUCCUGGAUCGAUACUGACGCUGAGACGCGAAGGCGUGGGGAGCGAACGG